GUGCUCGCUUCAGCAGCACAUAUACUAAAAUUGGAACAAUACAGAGAAGAUUAGCAUGGCUCUUGAGCAAGGAUGACAUGCAAAUUCAUGAAGCGUUCCAUAUUUUU
ensembl:snRNA U6 U6 spliceosomal RNA